AUUGAACGCUGGCGGCAUGCUUUACACAUGCAAGUCGAACGGUAACAGGGUGCUUGCACCGCUGACGAGUGGCGAACGGGUGAGUAAUGCGUCGGAACGUGCCGAGUAGUGGGGGAUAACGCAGCGAAAGUUGUGCUAAUACCGCAUACGUACUGAGGUAGAAAGUGGGGGACCUUCGGGCCUCACGCUAUUCGAGCGGCCGACGUCUGAUUAGCUAGUAGGUGAGGUAAAGGCUCACCUAGGCGACGCUCAGUAGCGGGGCUGAGAGGAUGAUACGCGCGACUGGGACGGAGACACGGCCCAGACUCCUACGGGAGGCAGCAGUGGGGAAUUUUGGACAAUGGGCGAAAGCCUGAUCCAGCCAUGCCGCGUGUCUGAAGAAGGCCUUCGGGUUGUAAAGGACUUUUGUCAGGGAGGAAAUCCCUAGUGCUAAUAACACUGGGGGAUGACAGUACCUGAAGAAUAAGCACCGGCUAACUACGUGCCAGCCGCCGCAGUAA
rnacentral:rRNA from 1 species